rnacentral:rRNA from 1 species
UACGUAGGGGGCAAGCGUUGUCCGGAUUUAUUGGGCGUAAAGAGCGUGUAGGCGGCCAGAUAGGUCAGCUGUGAAAACUCGAGGCUCAACCUCGAGAUGUCGGCUGAAACCAUCUGGCUAGAGUCCGGAAGAGGAGAAUGGAAUUCCCGGUGUAGCGGUGAAAUGCGCAGAUAUCGGGAAGAACACCCGUGGCGAAGGCGGUUCUCUGGGACGGUACUGACGCUGAGACGCGAAAGCGUGGGGAUCAAACAGG